GCCUUUCUAGUAUAAUAAUUACAAUUGACUUCCAAUCAUUUAAAUCUGGUACUAACCCAGAGAAAGGCA
rnacentral:tRNA from 1 species